CCAAAGUGGCAUGAAACAAUAAUGCAGAUCGAGCGAACAGAAGGGAGCUUGCUCCCGGAUGUUAGCGGCGGACGGGUGAGUAACACGUGGGUAACCUGCCUGUAAGACUGGGAUAACUCCGGGAAACCGGAGCUAAUACCGGAUAGUUCCUUGAACCGCAUGGUUCAAGGAUGAAAGACGGUUUCGGCUGUCACUUACAGAUGGACCCGCGGCGCAUUAGCUAGUUGGUGGGGUAAUGGCUCACCAAGGCGACGAUGCGUAGCCGACCUGAGAGGGUGAUCGGCCACACUGGGACUGAGACACGGCCCAGACUCCUACGGGAGGCAGCAGUAGGGAAUCUUCCGCAAUGGACGAAAGUCUGACGGAGCAACGCCGCGUGAGUGAUGAAGGUUUUCGGAUCGUAAAGCUCUGUUGUUAGGGAAGAACAAGUGCGAGAGUAACUGCUCGCACCUUGACGGUACCUAACCAGAAAGCCACGGCUAACUACGUGCCAGCAGCCGCGGUAAUACGUAGGUGGCAAGCGUUGUCCGGAAUUAUUGGGCGUAAAGGGCUCGCAGGCGGUUUCUUAAGUCUGAUGUGAAAGCCCCCGGCUCAACCGGGGAGGGUCAUUGGAAACUGGGAAACUUGAGUGCAGAAGAGGAGAGUGGAAUUCCACGUGUAGCGGUGAAAUGCGUAGAGAUGUGGAGGAACACCAGUGGCGAAGGCGACUCUCUGGUCUGUAACUGACGCUGAGGAGCGAAAGCGUGGGGAGCGAACAGGAUUAGAUACCCUGGUAGUCCACGCCGUAAACGAUGAGUGCUAAGUGUUAGGGGGUUUCCGCCCCUUAGUGCUGCAGCUAACGCAUUAAGCACUCCGCCUGGGGAGUACGGUCGCAAGACUGAAACUCAAAGGAAUUGACGGGGGCCCGCACAAGCGGUGGAGCAUGUGGUUUAAUUCGAAGCAACGCGAAGAACCUUACCAGGUCUUGACAUCCUCUGACAACCCUAGAGAUAGGGCUUUCCCUUCGGGGACAGAGUGACAGGUGGUGCAUGGUUGUCGUCAGCUCGUGUCGUGAGAUGUUGGGUUAAGUCCCGCAACGAGCGCAACCCUUUGAUCUUAGUUGCCAGCAUUUAGUUGGGCACUCUAAGGUGACUGCCGGUGACAAACCCGGAGAAAGGUGGGGGAUGACGUCAAAUCAUCAUGGCCCUUAAUGACCUGGGGCUACCCACGUUGCUACAAUGGGAAAGACCAAAGGGCUUGCAAGAACCCCAAGGUUUAACCCAAUCCCAUAAAAUCUGUUCUCAAGUUCGGGAUCCGAAGUCUCGCAACCCCAACUGGCGGGAGACUGGGAAUCUCUGAUAAAUACCCGGGAAUAACAAUGGCCCGGGGGGAAAAACUUUUCUGGGGCCUUUGUACACACGCCCCGGUGACACCCCAGAGGAUGUGUACCCCCGGAAACCUGGGAGAGGGAACCUUUUUGAGACCCCCCCCACAUGGGGGGCGAAUAUAGGGGUGUGGGGGUUUUUGUUCAAAAGGGUCCAGAGAAAACAGAGUUUUAGUUGUUUAGGGU
rnacentral:rRNA from 1 species